rnacentral:siRNA from 1 species
GGGGUUGACCGGAUCAGCCGAUA